UUUGGCCAAAGGGUGUAGAACUCUCUUUUCUUUCUUUCUGGAACUCUCCGUACUCCAUAUAUUUUCUCUCUCUCUGGAACUCUCUGUGUCUCUUCUCUCUCGCUUAUCUUCUUCUCCUUCUUUCUAAUAAACAAAUUUUUUUUCUUUUUUCUUUUCCUCCUAAACCAUCGAUCUGUAUUGUGAUUCAACUCCUUCAUAACCCAGCCUAAGCACCGAUCUCUCUCUACGAAUCCAGAUCAACAAAAAAAUUUGAAACCCAAGAACAUUUGCAGUUGAUUUGCAUGAGAGAAGAGCUAGAAAAAAAAAUGGAGCUCAAAGCCUCAAACGUUGUUUGUGAUCUGUGUUUGUAUUUGUUUCCUUGUGGGUUACAAUCUUUGAUUGUUUGCUACUUUGGGUCUUUUAGGUUUAUGGUAUUGUGGGUGUCUUUGGCUUCUUUUUCUUCAUAACUUUUACUUGGGUUUCUAAUUUUAUAGGUUAGAAGAGAUUGAAAGAGAAAUAGAGAAACAGAUAAUAAAGAAAGGGGGAUAUCUCUUCUUCUUCUUUAUUUCUCCAUUUCAUCAAUAUUUAUUUAUUUUUUCUUAAGAUCUGUGUUUGUAUUUGUUUCCUUAUGAGUUUCAAUAUUUGAUUGUUUGCCAAUUUGGGUCUUUUAGAUUUAUGUAUUGAUCUUAGGUGGGUAUUUUUGGUGUCUUUGGCUCUUUUUUCUUCUUAACUUUUACCUGGGUUUCUAAUUUUUUAGGUUAGAAGAGAUUGAAAGGGGAAUAGAGAAAUAGAUAUAAAGAAAGGGGGAUUUGGUUCCAUUUUUGGUAUUUUUGGCUAACACAAGACAGCCACGAAGCUGAGCUGUGCGAUUAAAAAGCAAGGACUGAUCUUUUGUAUAUCAAAAAGGAAGGCAAACGUCAAAACACAUGUAGUUGUUGAUGAACCAAAUGAGAAUAUUUGUAAAGUUGUUGGGAAUCAGCUUUAGCAAGUGGAUUUACUUGUGAUGGGGUUUAUAGUCUAUUGUUGGAGACUAAUGCAUAAGUUAGAAGAACAUUCAUGGAUGCAGAAGAAUUGAGAUGGGUACUUGCACUUUAUUCUUUCCUCCUUUAGUUCUAUUAACUAAAUCUUACAACACAGUAAUUUAAAAAAAGUUUUAAUUAAUAUUUAACAAAUUUACGAAUUUUAGUAUUCUAUAUCUCUCUAAAUUUUUCUUUGGUUUAUUCAUUUCGCAAAUCACGGGUGAGUCUUUUACAUGAAACAAAUACUUUGUAUUUUGUCUUUUUAACUAGAAACCUCUAAUUGUUUCAGGACCUACGCUGUGCUUUAUACUAUUUUUUUUUUUUUGGCUGAUUUCACUAUUUUACAGUUGCCUUAGUGUCUUCCCUUCUACUUUUAGCUUGGGAUCUGUGAUAUGUUUGGUUCUACUACCUCGUAGGGCUGUGCUAUUAAUUUGUAUAUAGCUUUGUUUUGUUCAGUGAAAAUUUACUGAUUUAUCAAAGAUCAAUCACCUACAUUUUUAUUUAUUUUAAUUUUAGAGGAUACUGUCAUCUGUGCUCUAACAUUGGAUGUGUGAAUAAAUUAUUAUUUUUAUAUAUAAUAUGGAGCAUGUUAAGUGAUGGGAACAUAUUAGAUUAGUUACCUAAAUCUAUAAUUCCCUUAUCCUAAUCAAUUUUAUUCAUUUUACCCCUAAAACACUAUCAUACAAUUGGAUGGCUAAAGCUUAUUUGCAUGGGGAAUUUUUAGACUACACCUUGAACAAUUUAAAAUAGAGUUUGAAAUGUUAAUGAAAUUGGUAGUUCUUGAAUGUACCAAUACUUAUAGUUUACUGAUUGCAUUCUUCUUUCAUACACUUUUGUACUGCUUUCAUUCUUUUCUUUGGUAUGACAGCCAGCUAAAGGACCUCAAUCUAAUGGGCGUUCAGCCUGCUAAAUUUAAAAAUUUUUGUCAUUUGUGAGAACUAUAAGAAAAACAUACAUGUUUUCUAGCAUUAUAGAAGUCAUUUAACCUAAUCAUGUCAUCAUUUUUUUGCGAAAUUUUUCUUAGAGAUUAUUGAUUUUGGAGAGUUGUUAGUGAGUAGUCCAUGCAAGGUUUGUUGCUUGAGUCUAGGGAUAUUGUCUUAUAUGUGACUUGUGUUUGUCUGAUAUGUGACUUGUGUGUGAUAGUUUUCCGCUGUUUGUGUAGGCCCUGUAAAUAGCUUUUUGGAACUAUUACCGUGUACUGUUAGUUUUAACUUAAUAGCUGUUCCAAGUAGCUUGAUGUUGGUUUUAUUGACUCGAGUUGGGUGGUGGCUUAAUUUGUUGAUUUGAUUUUUGAAAAAUGAAAAAUUCUAUUUAAAUAACCAAACUAGCUGUAGUGCUGUGUUUUGUUACUUUGGUCCUAGAUAUAAUGUUUAUUUUUUGUUUUCUUGACCAAAUGUUUUGUUGUGGAUUAUUGAUAUGUGGAUUGUAAUAGUUUUAGGAUGCAUUAAGAAAGAGUUUGGUGGAAUUGUUAACUAAGAGGGGUAAAAAGAACAAUCUUUAAUUGAGUUCAUGUUUUGGUGUUUUAAAUCAUUGGUUUUUACCUUAUUUUUUAAAUUUGAUAUUGCCCUCAUGUUGGACUUUCAGUUGGUUAAGUUUUUGUUAUACCAUCAUAAAACCAACUAUGAUUGUGAUUGUUGUGUUCAUUUCAGGUGGCAUGACAAUAUCACUUGGUAAGAUAAGAGAUUUAUGGUUAAUGAUUAGGUUAUACUUUUACAUUGUAUAGCUCUAAAAAGAUAACUUAAUUAUAUAGAUAAAUCCGUAUCUUAUAUGUAAUUAUUCUAAUCAUGUAGAAAGAUUUGUUAAGAUUAAGAAAUUAGUAUUAUCUAUGCAUUUUUUAGUACAAAAUCUUGUGGUUUUGUGUUAUCUAAUGAAAAAUAUAAUUUUUUUAGUAAAACAAAGGAGCGGCACAUGCCUUGCACGUGCUGCCCCAACUAGUUACUAUAAAAGGAAAAACAUACCAAGCUCUUGUAAACCAUCUAAGAAUAUAUAGCAUAAUGCAUUUUAUGAUACAAAAUUCUUCAGCUAUUUGUCACAAAUUUACACUUAGUGUCCGUUUAGCAUGAUUAAUUUUACCAACUUAUUUUAUUAUUUAGCUUAUUUUUGCAACUAUUUAUAAAUCCCAAUACACUUUUUGAUACUAUUCAUCAGAUACAUUGUACUAUUUCAGCUAAUUUUUAUCUAAUUAUCUUUAUCUAUAGUACUUUCAGUAAAAAAAUUUCAAUUUCAAUAAAAUAAGUAGAUCCCAAACAAACCUUUAAUAUAUUUAAAUGAAAAUUAUUUUUUCUAACGAAAAUAAUUUUCUUUUCUAUAUUUAAUUGAAACCGUGAGGAUGGUAACCGAUUUUUUUUUUCUUUUUUCUUUUUUCUUUUUGGCUUCUACAACAUAAUAAUCGAUAUUUUAUAUAGGUGGAAUGGUGAUAAUGAUAGUGUUGGUAGUGGAAAUGACAGUGGUGAUAGUUCUGUUAGUGACAACUGACAAUAGUAGUUGUGAAUUUGCUUUUUUUUUUUUGGUUUUUUUUUUUUUUUUUUGUGUUUUUUAUUGACUUCGGGAAAAGGUUUUCAUUGAUUAACAUGCUUUCAUCAAACAUUAAAAAAAAAAAUAUGAAAAACAUUUUUUAUCAAAAUGAAAAAAAAAAAAAAGUGUUCCAAAAAAAUUUGCGUCUUAAAUUUUAUUUUAAAAGCCAUUUAAUUACUUUAGGUAGAAUGUCCAUCAAUUUUACCUAGUUAAUACUAGGAAAUGUCUUCUAAAAAGUCACAAUACAUAUCUACAAAAACUUAUUUGCGCUUUCAUGUCUAAAUAAAGUAAGAAAAUAUUUAAUUAAAAAAAAUUAAGAAAGAAAGGUUGAAGGAAUAAAGAAAAGAAAAAUACUGGUUUAUACUUUAUAUAUUACAAUUCACUUAAAUUCACAUUAUUGUUGAAGCAACCAUUAAAAUUCAUUCAUACUCACACACUGUUUUCCUUGGUCCUAUUCAAUAUUAUCGACAAUCCAUCACCAUCCAUUAGCUGCCGGUUCACCACACCACCAAGAAAUACCAUACUACAUUUUAAAAUCUCAAGUGGCUUUGGUUAGCGAGCUAGCGGAAGUGUGCCGACAAUUUUAGAAGCGGAGUUGUGGGCCUAAGGGGACCAAUUAAAGAAGAGAAAGACUGAGGGAGAAGAAAUUAUUCUUUAUUUAAAUUUUGAUUAUUUUUCAGAUUUUUGUAUUAAUUUAUGUUUAAUAUACUUUUUUUAUUAUAUUUUUCUUUUUUAAAAAAUGACAUUGGUUCGUACGGAAGGUAAUGGGAAGCGACAAAAUGAGUACAUUUAACUUUAUUAAAAUAUA